rnacentral:lncRNA from 1 species
UGAAGAAGGUGCUUGUUUCCCCUUUGCCUUCCGCCGUGAUUGUAAGUUUCCUGAGGUCUCCCAGUCAUACUGCUGGUUAAGCCUGCGGAACGGCUGGUCUUGAACUCCCAGCCUCAAGCCAUCCUCCCGCCUUGGCCUUUCAAAGUGCUGGAUUACAAGCGUGAGCCACCGUGCACAGCCAAGACACAAUUUUAAAUCGAGCGGUCAGGAAGCCUCCUGGGGAAAAUGACGUUUGAACAAAGACAUGAAGAAAGUGGAGAAUAUUUGGGGAAAAGCAUUUCAGGCAGAGGAAAGUGCCAGGGCAGAGGCCCCGAGGAGAGGAAAAUGAGACCCACAGAAGUUCAAGUCACCAGGCCAGUUAUUGUUGGGCUAGCACUUGAAGCCAGGUCUGCCUGAAUUCAGGGCCUCAGCUCUUUCCCACGCAUUUUUAGCCCAGAACCAAGCUGUUCAUAAAAGGUGUGCCUGCAAAUAGGAAACUAGAGAGCAUGGGCCCUCAGAGAGAGCUCUGAACCCCAUCUUCGACCUCGAACCUGUCCUUGGACUGAACCUGUCUUUAGGAGGUCUGCCCAUACGGAUGAAUCUGGAGCAGAGGCCGGGCUCAGCAGGAGAGCUUCACAAAACUGAGAUUCGAUGAAGCAGAGCCCCGUUUUAAGGGCUGCACCAAUCCACCCGGA